rnacentral:misc_RNA from 1 species
AGUCGAGACAGCACGGUGAAUAAAUGAACAGUACUUGACUGAUGAGACUGUAGUCGUAGACGAGAAGGGGGCAUUCAUGUAGAAAGAUGGGGAAACAAAGUAGCAAACUGAAGCCCGAAACAUUAGAAGAUUUAAAAACACAGACCAAUUUCAGUGAUGCCGAGCUCCUAGAAUGGUACAAAGGAUUUUUAUUUGAAUGUCCUACAGGAGAACUCUCCGUAGAAGAAUUUCGCAAUAUAUACAGAAAACUUUUCCCACAUGGAAAUGCAGAAAAAUUUGCCGAACACGUCUUUCGAGCCUUCGAUGAAAAUCGAGAUGGAAAACUGGAUUUUCGAGAGUUCAUGUGUGCAGUUGGAAUCACUUCUCGGGGAACAGUGGAGACCAAAGCAAAGCUUGCCUUUAGGAUAUAUGACUUAGACAAGGAUGGAUACAUUACUGAACAUGAAAUGACGGAAAUUUUAAAGGUGAAGUUUAACAUUAAUUUUGGGUACCCUUCAGGCCAUGUACAAAAUGACAAGAGAAUCCCAAAAAGGUGGCCUUUCAGCAGAAGAGAAAACGAAAGAAAUCUUUAUGAAAAUGGACAAAAACCAAGAUGGAAACCUUUCUAUGCAAGAGUUCAUUAAAGGCGUGCAGACGGACGUCUCCAUUUUACGCCUCCUAACCAGUGCCUCAAACACAGGUUGAAUGGGGAUCAUAUCUUUAUACACGUUAUCAAAGUUGUCGCACAUUAUGUUAUAUUUAUGAGAAUUAAGUAUGUACAAUAGUCAAAGUGAAACAUGUAUGUUUCUGAUGAUUUCAUCUAAAAACACUCUUGUACAGUGUGAAUACAAUUCACUUCUACAGAGGAGCUUUAAAAUACCAGAUGCCAGUAACCUGGUUGUAUCACGUUCAUGACAAGAUGAACUUAAACUGGAAACUGGUUUUAAAAUCAUAUAGAAUUAUCCAAUACUGUAAGCAAACUUUCAUAUGCUGCAUUUAUUUUGCAAUUUUCCAGUUAUAAUCUGGUUCACAAUUACUGAUCUUCAUGACGAAGUCCCAUAGGGCUGAAAAUAUUUUCUCCUAUUAAUUUCCUUAAGCGAUUAAGUGUUGGUUUACAAUAUUACUUGUUCAUAAUACAGACACUUUAUUAAUCCCGGUGAAGACAUGCGAGUUCAGAACUAAAGUGUGUGGAUUAACAAGACUCAACUGUAUGUUCAAACAUGCAUGAAUUUCUAGCCUGACUUUGUAAUGCACUAUUUAACAUGUUACGUCAUCUCCAGUCAGUAAAAAGAUAUAUUUUUGAUGAGUUCCAUACUAACAAUUUAUUUGUGUAAAUGAUAUACUGGAAAUAUAUGUAAAUUAUCAUAAUGGACAGGUUAGUUUUAAAUCCCCAGAGUAGCUGACACUCUAUGUUGUACAUUGUAAAUAACUUUUGGGGAAAAAAUACCCAUCACAAGUCUUUUGUAUACUUUUAAUCAAUAACAGCACAUUCUAUAAAACUGCAUUUCUAUUGUAUCAAUAUUGCACUUCAAUAAAUCAUACAGUACACAUG